GACGAACGCUGGCGGCGUGCUUAACACAUGCAAGUCGAGCGGAGCGGCGAACGGGUGAGUAACUCGUGAGUAACUGCCCCCCUCUCUGGGAUAACAGUUGGAAACGGCUGCUAAUACCGGAUCGUGGGGGAUGACUCGCGUCCUAUCAGCUUGUUGGUGGGGUAGUGGCCUACCACGUCGACGACGGGUAGCCGGUCUGGGAGGGCGACCGGCCACAUUGGGCUGAGGUACGGCACAAACUCCUACGGGAGGAAGCGGUGGGGAAUAUUGCACAAUGGGGGAAGCACUAAUGCAGCAACGACGCGUGCGGGAUGACGGCCUUCGGGUUGUAAGCCGCUUGCAGCCAUGACGCGGUAGUGGCAGAAGAAGCACCGGCUAACUACGUGCCAGCAGCCGCGGUAAUUC
rnacentral:rRNA from 1 species